rnacentral:misc_RNA from 1 species
GAUGAAGAACGCAGCGAACUGCGAUAAGUAAUGUGAAUUGCAGAAUUCAGUGAAUCAUCGAGUCUUUGAACGCACAUUGCGCCCCCUGGCAUUCCGGGGGGCAUGCCUGUCCGAGCGUCAUUGCUGCCCUUCAAGCCCGGCUUGUGUGUUGGGUCGUCGUCCCCCCCGGGGGACGGGCCCGAAAGGCAGCGGCGGCACCGCGUCCGGUCCUCGAGCGUAUGGGGCUUUGUCACCCGCUCUGUAGGCCCGGCCGGCGCCUGCCGAUCAACCAAACUUUUUUCCAGGUUGACCUCGGAUCAGGUAGGGAUACCCGCUGAACUUAAGCAUAUCAAUAAGCGGAGGA